UCUCUGAUCGUAUAACGGUUAGUACACACGCCUGUCACGCGUGAGACCGGGGUUCGACUCCCCGUCAGAGAG
rnacentral:tRNA from 1 species